rnacentral:rRNA from 1 species
UGGGGAAUAUUGGGCAAUGGAGGCAACUCUGACCCAGCAACGCCGCGUGAGCGAUGAAGGUCUUCGGAUUGUAAAGCUCUUUAAGUGGGGACGAAGAAAGUGACUGUACCCACAGAAUAAGCCUCGGCUAACUACGUGCCAGCAGCCGCGGUAAUACGUAGGAGGCAAGCGUUAUCCGGAAUGACUGGGCGUAAAGGGUGCGUAGGUGGUUUGACAAGUUGGUAGCGUAACUCCGGGGCUCAACCUCGGAUCUACUACCAAAACUGUUGGGCUUGAGUGCAGGAGGGGUAAAUGGAAUUCCCAGUGUAGCGGUGGAAUGCGUAGAUAUUGGGAGGAACACCAGCGGCGAAGGCGAUUUACUGGACUGUAACUGACACUGAGGCACGAAAGCGUGGGGAGCAAACAGG